rnacentral:rRNA from 1 species
GUAGGUGGCAGGCGUUGUCCGGAAUUAUUGGGCGUAAAGCGCGCGCAGGCGGUUCUUUAAGUCUGAUGUGAAAGCCCACGGCUCAACCGUGGAGGGUCAUUGGAAACUGGAGAACUUGAGUACAGAAGAGGAAAGCGGAAUUCCACGUGUAGCGGUGAAAUGCGUAGAGAUGUGGAGGAACACCAGUGGCGAAGGCGGCUUUCUGGUCUGUAACUGACGCUGAGGCGCGAAAGCGUGGGGAGCAAACAGGGAUUAGAUACCCUGGUAGUCCACGCCGUAAACGAUGAGUGCUAAGUGUUAGGGGGGUUUCCGCCCCCUUAGUGCUGCAGCUAACGCAUUAAGCACUCCGCCUGGGGAGUACGGCCGCAAGGCUG